CACCAAUUUGUUCAAAGCGGUUGGGUAAUUGUUUAUACUGAUUUUUUAAUUGUUUGGUUGAAAAUGAAACAAAAAAAGGCAUCAAAGUAUUGAUUUUUAAGCAUAAGCUUCAUAUUAAUUGUUCAUCCUAUUUAUUUCAGUAAAAGUAUUGAUGAACUGCAAAGUAUGGACCACAGAGCAUGUUCGACUAUGCUUGAAAAGUUUUACAUUUUGAGUGAGUUGUAUUUUAUUUAUUUAUUUAUUUAUUUUUGAUAAACAUGUUUGGAAACAGUAACUUUUACUUACUCUAGGCUUAAGCAAACACGUUUGUGCUAAUUUUUAGGCAUGCUUUGUGAAAUUAUGCAACCGAGUAUACUUAUAAACUGGAAUAGCUAAAAUCUACGUCUUUUAAGGGACAAAUUCAAUUUUUCUAGCCAUCACUUUGGUGUUGUUAAUUCACUCGAUAAUAUUGUGGACAAUGAGUGCGGAUAUUUGUUAAUAAUUCAGUUUUUUCUUUCCAGCAUAAGGGGGAGGAAUGUUGGCGUCUAUUACGGCUAUAGAAGUACAGACCACUCCUUCCUGAAUUGCUCGAUAAAACGACGAUGCCCAUGAUGUACGCACGAACUGCAAAAAUGUUUUGAAGUUGAAAGGGAGACAAAGAACAAAGGGCGAUUAUUCAAAACAUGUAGUGUUAAUUGUGGGUAUUUUGAUUGGAUUGUAAACGAAGAAUCAAGCGGUGAAUCUAACACGACUAAUGAAGCAGUGAAUCUUGAAGCCAUCGAGGAAGCCGAAGAUUUGCUGACCAUGUUCGACAGUCUAGCUAGAAUAGUUGAAAAAAGAGAUAUUGAAAUUUCAUUGAAUAUGACAUUUCAUAAGAGAAAGGAAAGUGCCGAUGUGAAUGGGAAUGGAAAAGGGAAGGGCCACGCCCCAUAGGUAGUAGGCAAAACUGAUUUUGAUGUUUCGAAAUAUUACUUUGCUAUUUUUGUCCAUAAAUAAAUUGAGUAUAUUCUAUUGCUUAGGUUUGGUGGUGGUAAAUGGUGGCUGUGUUCAAUUUUAUCUUCAUUAAGUGUUAAAUAGGUAAUGGAUGUUUAAGAUGGUGGUUUUGGAGAACUUGUAUGGAUAAUGGCAGUGUGUGCUGUAAUGAAAUUGGUAAUCGUGUUUUGGAAUGCAAGUGGUGGUGUUAUAUUUGUGAACUAAUUUUCUGUUUGUUCAUUGCUUGAGUUAAACUAUGUAUAUAUAUCAUAGGUUGCAUCUUAUUUUGGAGGUUUUAGUUUGUUUCAAUCGUCUUCUGGAUUUGAUGUUUAAAUUAUCUUAGUUAUGGGAAAGUUGUGACUUGAAAGGCCCUUAGUGGUUUUCGAAGUUCCUCGAUUAUGAUGGCAGAGGAAUGGAUGGCUGUCGGCCUGAAGAUACACAUUUG
rnacentral:lncRNA from 1 species